rnacentral:rRNA from 1 species
AGCGAACGCUGGCGGCGUGCCUAACACAUGCAAGUCGAACGUGAAAGUAGCAAUACUAGUAAAGUGGCGUACGGGUGAGUAACACGUAGGUAAUCUACCUUAAAGUCUGGAAUAACCUGCCGAAAGGCGGGCUAAUACUGGAUAGAGCGAGUGGGCCAUAAAGGUCUGUUCGGGAAAGGGAGCUCGCAAGGGCCCUCGCUUUAGGAUGAGCCUGCGUCCCAUCAGCUAGUUGGUAAGGUAAUGGCUUACCAAGGCUAUGACGGGUAGCUGGCCUGAGAGGAUGAUCAGCCACACUGGAACUGAAACACGGUCCAGACUCCUACGGGAGGCAGCAGUGGGGAAUCUUGCGCAAUGGACGAAAGUCUGACGCAGCCACGCCGCGUGCAGGAAGAAGGCCUUCGGGUUGUAAACUGCUUUAGUCUAGGAAAAAGGGGUGCGAGGUUAAUACCCUCGUGCUUUGAUGGUACUGGAAGAAUAAGCACCGGCUAACUACGUG